AGGUUUAACAGUAACCUGGGGAGACAGACAUUCAUUGGAGUACUUUUUUUAAAAAAAAACAAAGUUUCUCUAUUAUUGAUGUGAAUUCAAUUUUGGAUGAUAUAUUUUAUAUUUUGCCAUUAUCUAGGCUAGCAGCUAUCUCGUAUUACUAUGCUCCUCCUAAAGGAGAUAGUGAAAAUAACUAUUGCCAGAAGUGGUAAUUUUGACAAAAGAUGGAAAGAAACAUUUUAAAAUUGAGAAACAGCGGCAAAUUGGAAGAAAACUCCCACAGAUAAGAAAAGUACAGCAUUUAUGAUCUACUCUUAUAAAACUCAUUCCCACAAAAAAGAUGAUUCAAAAUAAUGAUCAAGUUGUCUCUGCUGGUGCUUCCUGCUUUUCCCAGACUUAUCUUUGAACAGAUGUUCCCUGCAACUAGGGCCAAGCCAAAACAAAUGAAGCAGACUUCCCUUUGGAGAUCAAUUUCUUCAGUCAAGGAAGCCAGCUGGAUGACCUGGGACCAGUCACUCUCUCUGAGCCCAACUCACCUCACAAGGUUGUUGUAGGGAAAAUAGGAGAAGGAAGGUAUAUUGGGUAUGUUUGUCACCUUGAGUAAUUUGUAAAAAUAAUAAAGAUGGGAUGCAAAUAAACAGACAAACUACAGUUACAAGAAUAAAUCUUUGAGAAACUCUAUGCUAUCUACAAUGACUAUUUGUUGUCCAACAUCUAUUUAUUGUCCAAGGAUCUAUGAUUAUUCAAAGAACUGCCAAUACACUUCACAUAACGUCUGACUCACAUUAGACCA